UUCGCUAGUAAUCGCGCAUCAGCCAUGGCGCGGUGAAUACGUUCCCGGGCCUUGUACACACCGCCCGUCAAGCCAUGAAAGCCGGGGGUACCUGAAGUACGUAACCGCAAGGAGCGUCCUAGGGUAAAACUGGUAAUUGGGGCUAAGUCGUAACAAGGUAGCCGUACCGGAAGGUGCGGCUGGAACACCUCCUUUCUGGAGC
rnacentral:rRNA from 5 species